AAAAUGUGGUGCAAAGUAGGCCUCAGAGACUGAAAAAGUUUGUACAGCUUUAUUCAUGGGGAGAAGAUGGCGUUGCAUGAAUAGUAUUGGAUGCAAAUUGUGACGUGACGUAACAGAAAAGGUCAGGGGGAUGAGUUUUCUAAGAAAGGAAUCUAACGAGUGCAUGGCAUGUCUUGUUAGCAUGAAGAGUACUUUAACUUUGCUGCUUUCUCUUCAAAGCCUCCACCAGGUCAUUUUUAAGAGCUUCUUGUUUUGAUUUGUCUGCAAAAGUCUGCACAGACCUCAGCCCAUUCACGAUGUCCUUUGUUUUUCCAAAAUAAAUCUCAUUCAGUGUACUUCUGAUUUUGUUUUCCAUGUCCUCUACCAAGCGUCCAAUAUUGGCUAUGUGCGGAGAAGAGUCGCUCACAGUCUCAUCUUUCUCCAUCUGUCUGGUGAGGCUCCCGCCAAGGUUCAUGGUACCAGAACCAGUUUUAUUAGUCUGCAGCCACAGCAUCACUGUGGAGGUCAGCUUGUAAUGAGCAGUACGGCCGCUGGAUUUCUCCUGAACCUCCACCACGUGGAUGGAAUCCCAGCAUCCCUUAAUCUUCUUUGAUCCAUCUCCAGCUUUCUUAAUGAGGAUCACACCGGCAAAACCAUGAUCCAGAUCCCAGAGGUAGACAGAGGAGACUCCACCUUCGAAAUACAAGUCUCUAUACUGGUCAAAGGCAUUGUUGGCUUCCACCUCCAGCUUGCGCAGGCGAGCAGAUGGCAUGGCACCGUCUUCCAGGGGAGGAUCAUACUUGUUACUCCACGGUGAUCUAUACGAGUCUCCAUCUCUGUUGUAGUCACACAAUAGAUAGUCUUUUCCUACCACCUUAUCUCGUGCAAUCUUCAAUGGCUGAUCAACAGAGGAGAGGAGAUCUUCACAGAGGCUUGGGACCAAGUCAAUGAGGUCACUGAGAUUCUUCUCUAUCUGCUGCGGAGGCAGACGCCUCAUCAAAUCCAAGGCACAAUCCAGCUGCUGGUCACUCAUGGCGGCUCGGCGGGGCUGCGCUGGGCGGUGGCAACGGCGGCGCCUCCCGGUCCGCUCCGCUCCGCUCUCCCUCCUUCCGAGGCAGGCCGCGGCCCUUUCACUUCCGCCGUUGCUUAGGAGUGAACUUCCGGGUCAGCGCCGCGCCGCCCUGCCCUCCCGCCGCAGUCCAACCAAUCAGAGCGCGGCUCGCCGGCCAUCGCCAAGUAUGGAGCGCUGCGCGCAUACGGGGCGGGAGAGAUGGACGGAAGGAACCAUUGCCAGCAGCGGGGCGGGGGGGGCAGUGCGAGGCGCUACCAACGUCAGCGCGGGGGUGGGGAAAGCUGAGACCGGAAGAAGCGCGGCCAAUCAGGUGAAGGGGCGGGGCCUGCGGGAGCGCGCCGGCGCGCUGCUGUCGUGGCUCCGCCCGGAUUGCCCGAACGCCUGAAACCGCCCCAAGGUGGAAGGGAGGGCAGCGCAGCGCUUAGCACCGCCAACUUACAGGGUUAGGUGUGCUGCCGGUCACUCCUCCGUUCCCUCAGCCCCAAAGGACAGGUGAUGAGGAAUAGUCGGCUUCUGGCUAGUUAAGGAUAAGGCUAAUUUGAACAGCAAGUGUCCAGCUUGCCUGGGAGCUUAGCUUUGAUUCCGUAAAGCAUGCUGUACCUGCUGGAAGGUGAGCAGGUGCUUGCACGUUUUGAUGACUUCAGGGCUCAAGAAGCUGAUACACGUCUCAUCUGUGAAAUAAAAUCAGUGGGUCUGGGUGUACGUGUAAAUAAAACAUUUCUGCUUUCCUCUGACUGUCCUAGGAAGGAAUCUAUUCCUGAAAUACUAACUUGCCUUUCAAUGAUCUCAGGUAAAACCAGCCCCUGUUUCUGACUGUCCUUCCUGUGCAGCCAUGGCAGAGCAUGUAUGAGUCAAUAGUGGCACAGCUCUCCUUUGCAGCUUUUUGGGAGCAAUCUUUUGGGCUGUGCUUCACAAGAGCUUUGGUGCCAGGAUCCCUGGAACCCUCUGCUGGUGCUCCCUGGCUCCUGCAUUGCGGGCUUGGCCGUGGUGAGCCAAAAGCCCAGCUCUUGUUCUGUUUGCUUUCCUUCAUUUGCUGUAGAAACUGGCAAUGCUGUCAAGUGGAGUCAUGCAUUGCUUCCUGCUCUGAUGCAAUGGUGUGAAACCACGGCCUGUGUGCACUUGUAAUAGAACUUAUGUAUUCUCAAGGGAACUGCUUCAUUUUUUCCUGGGAGGUGACGUUUUGUGGUACAUCCGCCCGCCAGGAGAUAGCCAAGGCCAAGCUCUGACUUUCCACUAAGACAUUAUCACAGAUGUUUUUGGUUCAGCUGUGAAUUUUAGUAGCUCUCAGAUACCAAGCAGAACCUUCCAAGAGAUGACAACUCGGGCUGUGCUCACUUCACUUAACAACACAGGGCAAAACAGCUGCAACUUUCAGGUUCAAGGCAACAAGCUGAUUUCCAGGGAUGUGACGUGUUAGCACGAGCUGCCCUGCAGCACGAAGUGGAACUGUUGGAGUUCAGCUUGCACAACACAUGACCACAUCCCCAUGUAACAGCUAUCACAUGAAUUAUCAAACACAAACUGUCCUAUUUGUUGAUGGCUGUUGCUGUCACCCAUUUUUCUAAGUUAGCCUUGGCCUGCGUUUGGUUGGUUCUGGGAGGCAAAGAGUGGAAAGCAGAAGAAUGAUAACCUCAGGGAAAAAAAAAAGGAGCUAUGUUACUUCACAAACAAAAGCACAUGAAAAAAACACUACCAAAUAAACCCUAGGAUGGGAAAUAAUGUCUAGUAGAAAGGCCACAUGACCUCAAAAGGCAUUUCCUGCUCUAGAGUCUCCAAAUUCAAUUCUUCGCCAGUACUGUUCAGCCUAACCUCCCUGACGCCACAUUGUAACAUGCAGCAAUCCAAACGCAUUCUAUUUUCCAGUCCCCACAUCCUUCAGUCCUUACAUUCCUUCAGAGGUCCCUACCAGCAGUAAUUAAGAAAAGGCCGCCUUCAUUACUCAGUAGAUUAUUCCUUCCUCUUACAGGGUUGCACACAUCUAACGUGCACAUUUUCCUUGCAGCAGGGUCUGGGAGGACAGAGCAGAUAAACUUGAAAACACAUAUUCUAAAUGUCACAACUUUUGUUACAGAACUCGUGCAAAC
rnacentral:lncRNA from 1 species